rnacentral:sRNA from 1 species
UCGCAAAACCAUCUUCAUGAAAGUUGUUCCUUAGCUCGUGAACUACAACAUAUCCGAAUUGGAGAUCCAUCGGAGCAGUACAACUCCAGAAAUUCAGAUCAACAUACUUUCUUCAUCGAAGUUGUUCCUUAACUUGUGAACUACAACAUAUCCAAAUUUGAGGUCCCUCGGAGCAGUAUAACUCCAGAAAUCCAGGUAUGAUGAAUCUUCGAAACAUCACAGCAGCUUCGAAAUCUGCAAGAAUCCGACUGUCAUGCUUGGAGCUUCAACACUUUAAUUUCCGUGGCUCAAACAGAAAUGGUUCCUUCUUGAAAGUUGUUCAUCUGCUCAAGAACUAGAGGGUGUCCAAAAUUCAGCUCCAUUGGAGAGAAGCAGCAGCUGCAAAAAUUUGAUAGAGAAAAGGAGGCGAAGCUUUGUUGGAUUUCUAGGCUGGGGAAGAUUCCAGUUUUUGUAGCAACUUCAGUACUGGUGAAUUGCUUGUAUUUUUGUCCAUAACUAAAUUUUGGACUUUGAAUUAU